rnacentral:sRNA from 1 species
UCUGACGAUUGUGCGCAUUUACGGCUGUGCCGUUCUGCAGCUG